rnacentral:lncRNA from 1 species
AGUCACUCUCAUAUUAAGAACUUCUUGAAUAGUUGAAUUAGAACAUACUAAAUUAAAAAUUUAAAAACAUAUCAUAGAUUACAAACAUAACAAGUAAGACGUAAAUCAAGACAAGUUACAGAUAUACCAUGAGCAAUACAAACUUUAUUACAUCAAAUAAAGCCUUACAUUUCACACAUACAAAAGCUUGUAAACAAUUUUAAUUCUUGGGAAUAUACUCUGGUAUCUCCUUCCAAAAGCAGUCACACAUGUGCUUAUAUACUAUCACUCAUCAAACUCUCACAAUUUUACAAUCUCAAAGAAGGAACAAAACAACUUCUAGAUAAACACCACUCAGAAAACACUAAGAACACUCAGACUGACUUCUAAUGCCUUCAAAUGAAGCUUCCUCCUCUUUUUAUAGGCGAAAGGCAGACUUUAAAUUUUUCUUUGGAAUCCGGAAAGAGAUAACGAUGAUAGUGAUGUG